UACGUAGGGGGCGAGCGUUGUCCGGAUUUACUGGGCGUAAAGAGCGCGUAGGCGGAAAUUUAAGCGUGGCCUGAAAGCCCCCGGCUCAACCGGGGAGUGCGGCUGCGAACUGGGUUUCUUGAGGACGAUAGAGGAGAGUGGAAUUCCUGGUGUAGCGGUGAAAUGCGUAGAUAUCAGGAGGAACACCCGAGGCGAAGGCGGCUCUCUGGGUCGUACCUGACGCUGAGGAGCGAAAGCGUGGGGAGCGAACAGG
rnacentral:rRNA from 1 species